UGGGGGCAGAGGAGGGCUGGGGUCCUGCGGAGCCCCGGAUCCAGCCCGGGCAAAGACUCCUCUCCGCCCCGUGUGUCUGCGGCUGGUCUCCACCCGCUCACCAGGAGAAAGAAGGGUGCAGGGGGCGAGGUCAGAACACAGCCUGCUUUCCUGUUCAGCCCUAAAUUACAAAGACAAACGCUGCUGGGCGCGGUGGUGCACACCGGUCAUCCCAGCACCAGGGGAGGCUGAGGCAGGAGGAUCGCCACGAAUUCAAAGCCAGCUGAACUUCGCAGUGACACUGUCACCAAACAAACUGACCAAAAACCCUUCUGCUCCGGAGACAGAUGCCACAUCUGGUUCCUUCCAUGAACCAAAGCAAGUCAAGGGUCCAAGUCCCAAAUCGAAGGGGUGAAUGUUGCCUUGGGAGAGAAAAUGAGCAUUUGUGACCAGAUGGUGCAAUCUGUCACAGGGAGUGCUGGUGCCUGGAGUGGAGCCAGGGAGCCCUGGGAGCAUGGGGCUGCCCAGGACAGAGCACCCAGCCCUCCACCUCCUGCGUCCCCACUCUGUCCUCCUGCGCCUGCGCCCUGGCUUCCACUUGGACCUCAAGGCCCUUUCCGUUUCCUGGACCGGCUGGAGGGCGGUCCGCAGAGGCACAGGGUGGUCACGUGCUCAUCAUCGGUGUCAUGUCAAGGAUUCUCAAAUUGCUGAGAAUGUGCCACAGGGCAUUUCUUAAAAACCAGCAACUUCUCGUUCCCAAAGGACCUAGGAAAAAUUCCAGGCUAAACUUAAAAUGAGGAAAAAAUCAAGAUGGCCAUAAAUCUUCCAUGAGAUCACACUGUAAAUCUAGGGAAACCCUUUCGGGUGACAUAAGGCACAACCCCUAACAGCUAAUAGUCUUGAGACUGUUUGCGUCUGACCGUGCGGGUCCCUAAGUGCUUUCCAUUCUGGCAUCACCAUUUAUCUUGCGAUAUUUACUUUAUUGUGGGAAGUUGCAAUGUGUUUUUUCUCAUUCCCAGGAAGUCCGUGAUAAAAUAAACUCACCAGAGUAAAACAAAUGCCAUCUUAUUAACAAGCUUCGCCUUGGAAGAGGGUGGAGGGACGCCAGCCCAGCCAGAGGUGCAGAGUUCUGUAUUCUCCAUCAAUCUGGAGUCGAGGUCCUCUCCAGCGUGGGUUCAUGUGUCCUCACAGUGAAGCUGAUAUAUGACCUAUACCUUUGCUUGCACUCUGCCUCCGUGGUCUGCGUGGGACAGGACCCCAGUGUUCUGGGAGCACCACGAGCACAAGCUGAGCGCCUGGGACAUCUGGGAGCCUGUCCUCAUUCUCUCGUGGCCUUGGCCCACAGUGGCGAGGAGCCCUCCUGUGGGUCCCAUCCCAUCAGAAUCCACUCAGACUGUGAGCCCAGCCGGGCCAGCCCCUCCCUUGGCUUGGCUGAGGUUGCCAUCUAGGUCCUCCCACUUGCAUGUGAGGAGGAGAGGCCCAGAGUCCAAGCUCUGGCCCAGAUUUGCUUAGAAGCCCUGCUUCAUGGGAGUCUUAGGGAUUGUUGUGCUUUUAGAAGGACAUUUCAUUUUUGUUAGGUAUUUGUUCCUUGUGGGUGUCUUCCUUAGUUAAGAAUGCUAGAGGAGAGGGCAAACUUGGGAGUCAUAUGGGGUGCUAAGCUUCAUUGUUUAGGUUUAAUGUCAUUCUCUAGUUCCAUCCCUGCACAAAUGUAAUGAAAAGACUUAGUGUUGAAAGAACCGGGUUCUAGUCCUAGCCUUGCCACUCAUUCAGCUCUGCAGUGAAGUGAGAGGAAAUCUCAGUGUCUCUGAAUAUCUGUUUUCCAUUAUCAGAUGAGAUAUAGUAGCAGCUAACAUAAACCACUAUCUCUAUUUUUAGUCAGAAAGGAAACGAGACUCUCAUAAAAUCUGAAUGGCUAGAGGAGCAGGCUGGGCCUUCCACAAUGACUUCCAGCCCCACAACAUGGAAGCAGCCCUCUGCCCCAGUCAGGAAGCAGGGAACAGGAAGCGGAUGCAGCAACAGAUGGAUCCAGGAACAUCCUGUCCCACCUACCACCCAGGGAUGAGGGAAGCCAUGGCAGUCAUUAUGUUUUAGAUCUGAAACAUCCCCCAAAGCCUUCCGUGUUCAGCGGUAGGGCUUUUAAAAGGUGAUUGGAUCACAAGGGUUCUAUUUUUUAUCUGUGGAUUAAUCAGUCCAUUGAUAGAUUCAUAAUUUGGUGGCAUUGGAAGGAGGUGAUAGAAACUUGGAGGUGGGGCCAGGUUAAAGGAUGUGGGUGCUGGCUGGAGGUGUAACCCUGGGGACCAAGUCUUGUCUCUGGUCCCUUCCCCUCUAGCUUUCCCCCUCCCUGCUUCUGGCUGCUCUAAAGUGAGUGGCUUCCCUCCACCAUGCCCCUCCACCACGUUUCUGCCCCAACACAGGCCUCCUAUGGCAAUGCGCCAUACACCAACACCCCUAAACCGUGAGCCCCAAUAGCUAUUUCCUCCUUAGGUUGUUCACAGCUAUUUGGUCACAAUGAUGAAAAACUGAGUGAUACAGCAAUAUUGCCUCCAGAACUGAGCCUCUGUUUCCAGAUCCACAGCUGCGAUUAUGGGCCCUCCACUCUGUCUCUUGCUCCUCAUGUUGGCAAUUAGAUUCAAGGACCUCAGUCUCUGUUCCUACAGGGAAACCAUCAGAAGGACAAGAGUGAGACCUUUAUCUUCACUGUGCGUUCUACACCUCCUACCGUUGUCCGUGUCCUAGCAAGGGAUGAAGUGCCUUUGGCACAACUGACCUGGCUCUUAACUACUGCACAGAGAGAGGAACAGUUCCCAUUUCAUACUGCUCUACACAGAGUACAUUUAUUUUUCUUUAUCUGCUUUCCCAUUGCUGAGCCACAAUACCUGACCCCCACCCACAGCUUGAGGAGAGGUUUAAUUUGCCUCCCGGUUUCAGAGGCUUCAGCCCGAGGUCGACUGACGCUGAGGUAGAGAUGGAGGCAGAGCAAAGCUGCUCAGUCCACGGCACAGUGAAGUUUAACCCCAUAUCACACCAACCAAACUUCCCUGCUGGUCAGCCGUGCUUUCUAGAUUGAAUACUCGAGGUUAGUAUCUCUAAUCCCUCCUCUUCCCUCUGGUAAACUCAUACAUCCCUCAAAACAGCAGUACAGUUUUCGCCUUUUUUAUGAAGCUCUGAAUCUCCUGGUCAGUUGGCCCUGUUUGCCCCUGGGGCACCGUGUGCUGUCUGAUGGUGGACCUUACUGCACCUGGCGACGUACUCUGUCUGUGCCUCCUCUUAGAAUGACUAUUUUGAAGACAGACCCAUAUCAUGAAUACGUGAAUACUUGAGGACUUAUCCUAACAGUCUUCAGACUCCUAGAGAGAACAUUUAAAAAGCAUGCUGGAAUCAAAAUGUAGCGCCAUACGAGACUUGAAUUAGCUCCAUAUAUUAUACAGUAUAAGCCAUGUUUGUGCUUGUCCCUAGGGUAACUAGUACCAAUUUUUUUUUAUUAUGAUGAAAACCAUGACCCUACUGCUGCUGGUCAGUUAUCCAUCCUCCUCCUGUCUGAUUCACUCCCUUUCUUUGGGAAUCCAUUCUUUCCACUCCCACAGGUGUGUUUUUCCCACUGGCGUCGGGGCUGGAAACGGUGGUUACUUCCUAGUAACCAGCUCCCUUCUCCGUGGUGAUCAGAACCCUGGUUUGCAGCCAGCCGUUGUCAUCAGCCUUCACCCUACAGCGGUCUAGCAGAGAGGCAAAGCUAUGCUACUAUGCCAGCGAGACAGAGGAAAGUGGAGUGUGGGUGAGCAGUCUAGGAAAUUUGCUUACAGGGAGAACUGAACCCCUCUGUUCUUCAUUUUAUAACUGGAAACACAGGUGUGGCUGUAGCUCUAGCAGUUGUCUUGGAUCAUAAUAUAGUUAGUGAAAAGGUGAGUGGAAUUCGCAUCCUUAAUCUGGUAGGGUGGUGUCACCCUACCAGCCCUAGACUGUCUGCUUGCAGAGUUUCCUCUUGUUUUAUAGCCGAGACUAAGAUUGAAACCACAGUUUGCUGAGUUUUCUCUCAGGUGGCCACACCUAAGCCCAGCUGCUCGAGCUCUUCACUGGUUCAGCAGUGAUUUGACUCAGCAUGUGUCAGACUUCAUGUUUUUGAGGAGUACACAUACUAAGUUUCUGGAGGGAGGCCUGGCCCGAGCUGUGGGGACAGAAGAGGGCACCUGGUCUCUUCCUGGGGUCAGUAGAAUCUCUUCAGGCUGGGCAGAUACCAUGGCCCUCAAGUGAGCACCUAGCCUUGAGGCUGGAAGGUAGUGACUGGGACUGGGGGCACACCCUCCACUCACGGGUUUCUCCUGGGGCCCAGGGCAAGGACACUCCAACCCUAUUUGCUGAGACCUUGGCUGCCUCUAAGGUUCCUCUCAGCCAAGAGGAGUACAUGGAAAUGUGACUCCUCACCUAGACAUGCUGGGCCAGAAGAUGCCAUCUUCUGGAAUACGGUGACCCUGGAGUCAUGCACAGUAGGGUGGGAGCUAGAGAAUCUAAGAUGUUGAUGUAGAAGAGAACUUGGAGACGCUUUUUCCAGCAUUUGGAACAUGAGGAAGAGUGGGUUUCAGAAGUAGGCUGACAAAACUGGAAGGGAACAGGGUCGGACAAUGGUCUGGGAAUUGCAUUUUCCAGUUUGAUGCUCCUUCUUCAGCAUGGCAUCUGAUACUGUCUGUUGUAGUGGUCCUGAUUCCUAAAGGAGCAGAAGGCAAGAUAGGAUUGAACUCACAAGGAUUUUCUUAGGGGAAAUACUUAUAUUAGAGAAAAUAGGACAGGAACCAGAUUGGCUGGAGGCAGUCACCCAUUGGCAGGCCAUGACUGGAGUCUGGCCCUGAGUGCAUCUGAAGAAAGACCUGGUUGGUCUGUUAUCCAGUCUGUGAACCUCCGUUGUCCAUAAGAAGAACCCUAUGUCUUGUAGAAAGAAGUUGGCUUUUGUGUAUCUGCUGCUGGAGCAGCCAAUGGGAAGAGCGGUCUCAUCACAGGUUCGGCACCAGAUUUCAGAGCAGAUUUGUCAGUUAGCUAGACGUUUGCAAAGUGUGUUCUCAGGCCACCACACCUGGCAUUGUUCCACUGUCAAGCCUUUCAUUCCCUGUGAUGUAAUUCAUACUGCGUGCAUCCGGUUCAGCGUUUGCAUAGACAAGUAGGCAGAUAGGAUGGUAUGAAGUUUCUAGUAUGUGUUGGGACUGAUGUGGCAAAGUCUUCCAUUUCUUACAGCUUAACUGUAGCUUUUGAAGCAUGUGGUUGAGGAGCUGAGGUGUCAUUUGAUGAAGAGUGGCCAGGCCAUUGAACCCAAUAGACAUGGCCCUAAAUGUGAGCCACAGAAUCAAAGCAACGGCACCACCUGUCUUUUCUGCAUUUGUAUGAGGACAGAUGAAGAAGGCUGCUGGUUAAGUUCAUUAACAUUGUCUAGAAAAUUGUAUUGAGAUCUUAAGCAAAUUGCAACUAUAAACAUGUGACUCUUUGUUUGUUUGCUUGUGUUUUGGGGAUUGAACUUGAGUCCUUGUGCUUUUGAGGCAGGCUGUGGAACCACUGAGCUAAAUUCCCGGCCCAGUAACUCUUGACAAAGCUUCCUUCCUUGGUCAAACUGCAAUCAGGCUCUGGAACCUUUUCCUAAGCCCGUCCGUGCACUUUCCUAUGAAAUCCAGUUUCAGCAAGAAGCCUGCCGAGUCAGUUUAGCAGGAACCGCUGUCUGUAAUAGCCGGUCAAUAUUCCAUCAGGAUCCUCACCUGCUACCAUAUCCAGGUGACACUGACUGCACUACUCUGCCUUCAGCAAGAAUCCUGGUCAGAUGGUUCAGCCCGACUCCCCCUUAACUGGGCGUCUCCUCUUAGUGAUUUUCCAUGCAUGGACCCUGCCCUGCGCCUUGGCUAAAAAUCCCCACUUGCCUAUGCUGUUUUUGGAGUUGAGCCCAGUCUUGCUCAGUUCAGAAUCUCACCGCUGUGGUCCUUAUGUUUAUCCCAGUGGUCCGGAAUAGUCUGCUUUACCGGGUGUACUCAGUGUCAUCGGACAACUGCUUCUCAAAUGCUCUUUGUCACUGGAUUUUCAGGUAUUUUGGUGCUCAUUCCUGUCAGCCAGGUGGGGACGUAACCCUGAGCCUCACAUGUGACGAGCAGAGGCACCAGAGCGCCCAGCGUGACUGGAGGCACCCAGCUUCCUAGGGCUCCGUGGGCCCCUCCUCUGCCCAGAGAACCCCCACAUUCACCACAUUCUCCAGGACCGUCGAAGCCCAGGCUGGCCUCAAACCCACGGUGAUCCUCCCACCUCAGCCUCCAGAAUGCUGGUUAUGGGUGUGUGCCACUACACCCAGUGAGAUUUCUUCAUAGAAGAACACUGCUGGCCUUGAACUCAUUAUGUAGCCCACAUGGCCUCAAACUCAUGGAAAUCCUGCUGCCUCAGCCUUCCGAGUGCUGAUAGUACAGUGCUGGAGGCUGGAAGUUCAAGAUCAAGGUGCAAGUAGGACCAGGUUCCUCUGAGUCCUGGCUUCUUGGGUUGCAGGUGGUCACCUUCCUGCUGCCUGUAUUGUUUAAAGAAUGAAGCAACAACUCCACUAUGCAGGAAGGUGCUUUGGCAUUGGGUUCUUUGUGGGCAGAGUGGCCUCUCUCUUUUCUAUCAGGUAGAUGGUCCUGUCACCCACACUGGCUUCUUACUCUGUUGUGACCCUUUUUCAAUUUCAACACAGAAGACUUCCCCAUCCUUGAUUCCCAGGGCCCGGCACCGUGUGACUUCUGGCUCUUCCCCGAAGCAGGAUGACAAUGCAAGGUAAACAUUCUGAAUCAACUCAGGACAUCAAGGCAGCUAUAACAACACAACUCAAGACAUCCAUGAAAGAGGACUCCAGAACUGCUUCAGAAAGUGGUUCUAAGGAAUGAAAAACACUAACCCUGCAAUCCUUAUCACCAAGAACUGUGCACCCUAGUGACAUGUAAAGUUUCCUUCAACACUUUUAGGGUCAAGGUUCUAGCAAACAAAAAGGACAAAGAAAGAAAAGUAGAGCAAAAGAUGUUGUUUCUGUUGCUAAGAUUUCAGGAGAAGGGAUCAAACUGAGGACCUUGUGCUCGCGAGGAUCACACUGAACAGAGCAAGGAGCCCCCCGAAGUGCCUGCCCACUGCUUGUGCCCACCUCUGCCAGUCCAUCUUGGUCCCACUGAGGCUCCAGUGCACUUCAUCCUCAUGGGAGAGCCAACUACUCCUGGUCUAGGGUGUGGAUGUUUGAGCAGACCAUCUUCCUUAGAAGCUCAGAGUGUGGUGGGGAAGUUCAUGGUUAUAGCAGGGUAGAAGUUGAAAGAGCCUCUGAGGCUGGCUUUGGAAAGGGAAGAUGAGCUGUGAAAUAGUCUACAAGAAUGGCCAUGGUGGCCAGAAUGAGAAGUAUUGUGAGAGUCACGUGGGACUUUGAACAUUACCGUGUGACACAUGGAACUACUGAGCACUUGCUAAGGACACCCGGUUUACCUUCUCCAUCUCGUUUAACUCUUUCAAGGUACCGUGAAGAACUCCCAUUUCACAGAUGAGGAAACGGAGGCAGGAAGAGCAUGAGUCAUGUGGCCAAGGUUUCAGAUGAUACAUGGCAGAGCCAGGACCAGGGAUUGAGUCCACACAGACAGAGUGUGAGCUCCAAGUCCCGCUUCUCUUCAGCGUUAGAAUGGAGAAAUGAGAGAGACACACGUGGGACCACUACAUGCCUCUGCUCAAGAAUUGUGCAUUGCAACUGGGGAUGCCAGAGCUUUCCCGGUGAAAACAUCACCAUUUAAAAAUGCCAUCAUCCAAAUGUAUUUCCUGCUCAUUGGGGCCAAGCAAGAACAAUUAUGUGGUUCUACAGCACCAUGGGAACCCAACUCUCGCUGUGUUUCUGGCCAGCAUGAACAAGCUCUAUGGCCUUUCCUGUCUCCAAAAAACAAAAGCCUACAUGCAAGAAUUCUUUUGUUUGGAGACAGGAUCUUGCUCUGUAGCUCAGUCUGGCCACAAACUCGUGGCAAUCCUCCUGCCUCAGCCUCACAAGUGCUGGGAUUACAGGCCUGUGCCACCAGCCUGGCUUCGUGCAAGAAUUCUUAUUCAUAAGCUACAGUUUAUAAAGUUUUAUCAAGUGCCAACAUUAAAACCCAAUUUACUUAUUUC